AGUGAACGCUGGCGGCGUGCUUAACACAUGCAAGUCGAACGGUAACAGAUAGAAGCUUGCUUCUAUGCUGACGAGUGGCGGACGGGUGAGUAAUGUAUAGUUAAUCUGCCCUUUAGAGGGGGAUAACAGUUGGAAACGACUGCUAAUACCCCAUACUCCUUUCUACUUAAUGUAGAUUGGGAAAUGUUUUUUCGCUAAAGGAUGAGACUAUAUGGUAUCAGCUAGUUGGUGAGGUAAGAGCUCACCAAGGCAAUGACACCUAGCUGGUCUGAGAGGAUGAUCAGCCACACUGGAACUGAGACACGGUCCAGACUCCUACGGGAGGCAGCAGUGGGGAAUAUUGCACAAUGGAGGAAACUCUGAUGCAGCAACGCCGCGUGGAGGAUGACACAUUUCGGUGCGUAAACUCCUUUUAUAUGGGAAGAUAA
rnacentral:rRNA from 1 species